UUUUGCUGUAUUUUGCACUUACAAACACCAAAGCAACAUGUCUACAGAUACAAAUGGACAGUACUGUGUGUACAACUGAUUUAAUGAGACACAAAUAAGACAGACGUGCUAAUAAACAGUAUAUU